rnacentral:RNase_P_RNA from 1 species
GGCGCCGGAAGAGACUGUCGCUCCGCCUUCGGGUGGAGAGGAAAGUCCGGACGUCACCAGGGAAGCGGGCCGCGGGCAACCGCGGGCUCGGGCGGCGCAAGCCGCCCGGGACGGAAAGUGUCACAGAGAAAAGACCGCCGCGUCGAAAGAUGCGGCAAGGGUGAAACGGCGGGGUAAGAGCCCACCGCUCGGCUCCGGCAACGGCCGAGGCACGACAAACCCCCCGCGGCGCAAGGCCAAACAGAGGUGCCGGUUCCCUGGCCGCCCGAGGCCGGGGGUGCAAGCCCCCGAGUCUUGGGGCACACCUCGGGUUGGGCCGCACCGCGACGGUUCGCCGUCGCGGACCGACCGCCGGCGGGCGAUCGGUAGAGAAAUGACAGUCACCGGGAAGCAAUGGCUUCCCGGAACAGAAUCCGGCUUAUCUUCCGGCGCCGGUU